rnacentral:rRNA from 1 species
GAUGAACGCUGGCGGCGUGCCUAAUACAUGCAAGUCGAGCGAACAGAUGAGAAGCUUGCUUCUCUGAUGUUAGCGGCGGACGGGUGAGUAACACGUGGGUAACCUACCUAUAAGACUGGGAUAACUCCGGGAAACCGGGGCUAAUACCGGAUAAUAUUUUGAACCGCAUGGUUCAAUAGUGAAAGACGGUUUCGGCUGUCACUUAUAGAUGGACCCGCGCCGUAUUAGCUAGUUGGUAAGGUAACGGCUUACCAAGGCGACGAUACGUAGCCGACCUGAGAGGGUGAUCGGCCACACUGGAACUGAGACACGGUCCAGACUCCUACGGGAGGCAGCAGUAGGGAAUCUUCCGCAAUGGGCGAAAGCCUGACGGAGCAAUGCCGCGUGAGUGAUGAAGGUUUUCGGAUCGUAAAACUCUGUUGUUAGGGAAGAACAAAUUUGUUAGUAACUGAACAAGUCUUGACGGUACCUAACCAGAAAGCCACGGCUAACUACGUGCCAGCCGCCGCAGUAA